rnacentral:lncRNA from 1 species
AGGAAAUUGAAAACCACUUCAGUAUCUUUGUGAAGAAAACCCCAUUUGGGAUCACAAAGAAUCAGACAUGACUGAAACAACUGAACAAUAAUCACAAAAUAAAUAUGUAUGAUAAAGUCCCUUAGUAGUAGGGCAAGAAUUGGGAAAGAAAGAUUUUACUUUAUUGAGAAAGCAAUAAGAGUGUUCUGGAAGUUUUCAGGUAAAUUUCUGGGGGUUGAGAUUGUGUGAAUGAAUCUCAAAUGAGGAGAGUUUCUUGAGUGAUAAUAGCAGAGGGAGAAUGAGGAAGAGGCAAUGGAGAACAGAGAAUUCAAAUUCCAACACCUGGAACAGUCAGUCCAUGGGAAGACUAUGACUAAAAUUCCGAUCAUUGUUGGAAAGGGUCACCAGGGAGACUGUCAUUAGGCUGGAACCAGGUCUUAGUGAGUGACAGAAUAUGGAAAAUGUGAGAACGGAAAAGAUUUAAGAUGAAAUCUAGCUUUUUACACAUGGAGCAAAGAGCACAGAAGGAGUGGGCAGUUUUAAAGAAGGAUGUUGGGGUCGUCAUGAUGGGAAUAUAUAAGGAUCCCAAAGCCCUAGAAGAUGAAGAGAAAUUAAAAUGGAAACAAUAAGAUAACACAGGUAGUGAAUAAAGCACUGGAUUUUAAGAAAGUUCA